rnacentral:rRNA from 1 species
CCUACGGGAGGCUGCAGUGAGGAAUAUUGGUCAAUGGACGGAAGUCUGAACCAGCCAAGUCGCGUGAAGGAUGAAGGUUCUAUGGAUUGUAAACUUCUUUUGUCUGAGGGUAAAAAAGCGGACGUGUCCGUUCUUGCAAGUAUCAGACGAAUAAGCAUCGGCUAACUCCGUGCCAGCAGCCGCGGUAAUACGGAGGAUGUGAGCGUUAUCCGGAUUUAUUGGGUUUAAAGGGUGCGUAGGCGGGUUAUUAAGUCAGUGGUGAAAGCGUGUGGCUCAACCAUACCAAGCCAUUGAAACUGGUGAUCUUGAGUGCAAACGAGGUAGGCGGAAUGUGACGUGUAGCGGUGAAAUGCUUAGAUAUGUCACAGAACCCCGAUUGCGAAGGCAGCUUACCAGCAUGCAACUGACGCUGAGGCACGAAAGCGUGGGUAUCAAACAGG